AAAUCACAUAAAGACAGUCAAGGAAGGAAGUUGCCUCAAAGGCCUUAAUCAAGGGAAUAGGCUAUGAUGAAUAAUGGAAUGAAAGAAGAGGGUAAAGAAGGCAUUUCCCCUUCCCCGGAAAUUUUAGCUCCCUUUUAGGUCAUACCUAUCACUAAUCAAGCAAGUCGAGACAAGGGUCCACACCUUCGAAUUUCUUCUAUAUUUCGUAUAUUAUAUAUAGCGAAUGCGGAUGUAAGCAAAAAUCAUCCAUCCCAGCCAUUAAACUCUCGCAAUCUGCUCGUGAAGUUGCUCGCAUAUAUAAGGAGAGAAAGAACCUCAAUUCACAGUCAGAGGCAAUAGCCCGCCUCCUCCCGGGAUUGGUUGUGAGCAGAUUAAAACUCCUGGCCAAGGGUCUGACUUUCUUCC
rnacentral:lncRNA from 1 species